GCGAAAGCGAGUCUGAAUAGGGCGACAUAGUCAGUGGGGGUAGACGCGAAACCUUGUGAUCUACCCAUGGCCAGGUUGAAGUUUUGGUAACACAAAAUGGAGGACCGAACUCAUAUACGUUGAAAAGUGUUGAGAUGAGCUGUGGGUAGGGGUGAAAGGCCAAUCAAACUCGGAAAUAGCUGGUUCUCCGCGAAAUCUAUUUAGGUAGAGCGUCAUCCGAAUACCCUCGGGGGUAGAGCACUGGAUGGGCUAGGGGGCCCCAACGGCUUACCAAACCUAACCAAACUCCGAAUACCGAGGAGUACUAGAUGGCAGACACACUGCGGGUGCUAAGGUCCGUAGUGGAGAGGGAAACAGCCCUGACCGCCAGCUAAGGUCCCUAAGUUAUCACUAAGUGGGAAACGAUGUGGGAGUGCUUAGACAACCAGGAGGUUGGCUUAGAAGCAGCCAUCCUUUAAAGAUAGCGUAACAGCUCACUGGUCUAAAUAAGUUGUCCUGCGGCGAAGAUGUAACGGGGCUCAAGCCAUGAGCCGAAGCUUAGGAUGCACAUAGUGCAUGGUAGCAGAGCGUAGUGUGA
rnacentral:rRNA from 1 species